GGAGGGUGGGCGCCGUGGCUUCCCCUCGCCGCCGUCCCCUGGCCGGCCGGCCGCGCGGGGGUCGGACAGGCCCCGCCGGCGCGCCACCUCCCGCAGCAGCGCCGAGUCCCGUGACGCCGAGGGACGCGCGGCGGGGGACGCUUCCCAGGCUGACCGCGGGAAGCCGCCUCCGCGGCGAGCGAGGCUGGCCGCCUGCAACUUUCGCUCUUGCUGGAUUUCCCCUCUCUCGGCAGCCCUGCCUGCUGCUCCAGGAACUACUGUGGAAACGACGGCCCCGAAAGCCAUGCUCUGUAAGAGGGAUGGACAGCGCACUUGUGGGACCCGAAGACGGAUUCCUUUCUGCUAGUGCCAGAGCCGGCUUCAUAACCUCCUCUGUCUCUCCCAUUUAUGCUCUGAUUUCACCGUUUUGAAAGUCUUCAUAAUUUUUGAACAAAGGGCCCGGCAUUUUCUGUUUACACUAGGUCCCACGGAUGACGUAGCCUGUCCUGAUCAUCUCUUGUGGGCGGGAAACGGGACUGCUGGGUCUUUGAACAGGCCAGCUGCAUGACCCAGGCCCUCUCCAGCCUCUACAGGUCUUUUUUGCCUGUAAAUUAGUCUGGGAGUGGGAAGACAGGUAAAUAAUGCUUUUGCGAUCCACCACUCAGACGCAGUGAUCACUGGCUGUCCUCUUAGAAUUUGGGGUUCAGUUUGGUUGAUUUAACAGAGGUCACCAGCAACCAACUUUGGAAAUAAUCUAAAUUCCUCUAGACCUGAGACGCACCCUCUUCCUCCCAGGCCAGAGAUGGGACUCCCCCUAGUGUCUGGUAGGGGAAUCUUCACUUUUGCUUUUUCUUUCCCGUGGAGGUAAUUUUUAGGUAAUUCCUAAAAUUUCAAGAGUCCAGUGGCCAGGGAAUUCCCAGCCCGCUUUGGUCCGUGGCUUCUCCUUCAUGGUGGUGGCAGUCAGAGAGUCCUCCGCAUUUGCAGUGGAGGACAUGUGCCGGGUCCCCGGGUCGCACCAGAGGCUGGAACGUCACACCUCACUCAGGAGGUGGUUUCUGGGCACAAGGGAAAAUAGCCAACCCCACAGUGUUACAGAGCAGAAGGCGUUGAGAUGAGGGAGGGUGCACGAUGAGCCACCCCUUUUACUCCCCUCCCCCACCUUUCCGCUCCCCGGUGUGAACCUUGCUUUCUCUCCCAUCAGUGGUUUCAAACUUUGGCGUGUAAUCACUAGGAGGGCUUGUUAAAUCACAGAUUAGCUCCACCCCCCCAGUUUCUGAGCCAGUAGGAGCUCAGGGCUGAGGUUUGAGGUGUUGCAUUUUUAACAGAUUCCCAGGUGGUGUUGCUGCUGCUGGCCCACAGACUCCACUACUCUAGAUCUAAGGUGGUGAUAAGGCUUGAGACUCUUUGGAGGAGAUCGCCUCUCCCAGGAGGCAGGGAGCUGGGUGAGGUCCAGGGCGUGGACCCAGCUUGAGCUCUGGGUGACAGCUUGGUGUGGCAAGAAGAAAGGACCUGGCGAUGCACACAUCACUGAAAGGUCAGUUCUGAAAUGCCGUUUGUGAAAAAAUUGCCAACAAUCACCAUCUCUGCCCUCCAUCCCCCUUUCUGCCCCCCCAGGCAUGAGUUGGGGCGGCCCAGCCCAGAUCCCCUGGAUGGAAGGUCUCAUGGGAUGAGUGUCUCCUUUAGCCCUGGGAAGCUGAGGACUGUCUGGAAUAACCAGACAUAAACCCCUUCCCAGCUGCCUGAGCUGCACAGAAAAAUUGGUUUUCCCUUCCCGCUACAGCUCUGAUUUGGAGGAAUGCGGGUGGCUGUUCUCAGCCCUGAAUGGCAAAGGGGAUUGUGCAGGGCCAGAGCCCUACACUGGGCUUGUGGGAUGGGAACGGAGAUGAAGAAGGAGAUAACUUAACCUCAUGUAACCAACCCAAAACGUUUAUCAAGUUUAUCUUAAGGUUCAUCUGCCUGAGCCAAGAAAUUGAGGUUGGGAGAGGUAGUUGCCACCCCUGACCCCCAACAGGAAGCUCCCUGCCUGGGACUUGCCUUCUGUGAUAGCGUCUUUCCCAGUGCAGUGCCCUUCUUCCCUGAAGGAGCAGCCCCUCCCACAACACACACACACACACACACACACACACACACACACACACUCGCAAGUCAGUCCUCCUUCCCCAGGGAGGAAAUAGUAAAUAAACUCGAGUCUCAUUGGAGGGUCAGGACGAUGCCUGGCGCAGUGUAGUGUGUGCUGCUUGAGGCUCAGGAUUGUUGGGGUUGGUCUCUGGUCAGGCGGCCACCAGGGUAAGACCGCAGCGUCCGCGGAGACACCUCCACUGGGAAUUUUUCCCACGUUUGCAGAUCCUCUCGGCUCAGAGCCAUUGACUUUUUUGUUUGUGACUCACUCCCAGAAGAGUAGGUGUGCUGUUUUUAUUUUUGACCAAGGCGAAGAAUUAUGAAAGUAGUUUGAGUGUGUGGUCAGUGUGUGAGGUCACUUCGGAGGUGGUCCGGGAGCGUGUUGGUUCCUCCAUGGGGCGAGCUGUGUCAGGGCUGUCCCCCCCCACCCCUGCUGAGCUUCCCAGUAGGAAGGAAAGGGGAAGGACAGAAUGCAUUCUGACUUUCUGAAGGGGAAGUUUUUGGUUUUGUUUGGCUUUGAGGCAUCUGAAGUCGCUGAAAUCCCCAAAGCAUUUAGGGGACCUCCCAGUGAUUCUGAGAGAUCAGCUGUUUGCAUAGGCUCACUGCACGGUCAGGACAGGACAGGUUAUGCUUCGGUAGUAAACGACCUGCAAGUCUCACUGCCUUUAAACCAGAAACUUCUUUCUCACUGCUGUGACAGCCCUCUGCCGGCUGGCAGGGAGGCUCUUCUUCAGAGCCACUCUGGGCCCCACCGCAUGAAUAUUGCCGGCCACCGUGCCAGAGGGAUGCCAAGAGAGCCCUGAGGCUCCCACGUGUAUAGCCCGCACUCCACAAGGGGAGCAAGAAGUGCAAGCCAUCGUGUGCUCAGAAUGGGGAAAGAGCCGGAAAUAUGUGGCAAACAGCACGACUGACCAGCGCAGCCUUCAGGGGCCCAGAGCAGUUAUUCAUUUAACAAGUAGCUGAGACCCGCUCUAUAGCGGGCACUGUUGUCGGCACUAACGGUCCAAGAGUGGAACGGACAUGUUCCUGAAGCUUCCGUUUUAGGGGGAGCCAUAUAACAAACAUGCACACGUAAGUGUAAUAGAAUGUCAGGUCCUAAGUACUGUAUGGUGAAAAGUAAAGCACGUUAAGAGGAUAGAAAAUGGCAGGGGCAACUCUUAGGUCAGGUGGCCAGGAAAGGCCUCUCCGAGGAGCAGACGUUUAAAUACCGACCCGAGGGGAGUAAGCCCUAUGUCUGUCUGAACAAGGGCAGUCCCGGCUGAGGCAACAAGAGCCCCGAACUUUCCCACACCUUAGGAACGGGAGUUUGUUCCAAAUGCAUACCCCCAGACUCCACCUCCAGAGAUCCAGGGACUCUGGGUACUGGCCUGUGUUUUAUAGGAGCUGAUUAAGGUGCCUCAAAGACCCCACUCUGAAAAUGCAAGCAAGGCAGUGGGCAGCUGGGAUCGUGUGACCCCUGCAUAGACAUUUGAGGGGAAACGCUGUCAGCCUUGUUGAGUGCAGGGUUACAGGUCUGCACGCAACUUCCUUCCCUUGAUGGGCAGCUUGUUGGACACAGAGCUCAGCCCCCCCAACCCCGCAUGGAAGUGGAGAAUGAUGGGGGUCCGAGUAAUGGGGGUCAGUCACACCUUCUAUUGCUAGACUGUGAGCCAGGACUGUAAUUACAUGUUGUUGGAGAAUUAAAAUAUUUGUAAAAGUCUCUCGUCAAAUGCUAUGUGUUAUACAUAUUUACUCAAGAAAUAUGCAUCCAGCGCUCACCAUAGGGCUGGCACUUUAGGCUUGAAUGACUUGAUCUUCACAGCAACUCUCUGAAACAGCUGACAUUCCUAUUUUACAGAUGAGAAAAUCGAGGCUCAGAGAAGUCAUGUGACUGGCCCCAAAAGGUGUCAUAGUCUAGACUCAAAUGCACGAUUUUGCCUUUGCACUACCCAGCUGGUAUGGUAAAAAGGGCAGUGUUUAAACAUCUCUGAUCUCACUUUGUAGGUGCAGUUUGAAGAAUCAGCAAAAUACUUCCCCAUUUUUCUUUCCCUGUUGAAAUCUGUUCAAUGUUCAAGGUCUAAUCCAAAUGCCAUAGAGCCCUCCCAGAGUUACCCAGGCCUGAUCCCUCACUUUUUCUUCUGGGACCCUACAAGUCGCUUGCAUCUCUAACACUCACAUCAUCCUGAUGUGAGUCAUGAUUACAUUUGUACCUUUUGCCUUCCCCACCUGGGUCUUGCUGGCCUUUCUGAUUACACGGUACAGGGAAAGUAAGAGGUGCUCAUCAAAUGCUGAAUGGAAUGAAUUCAGCUGUCAGCUGCCAACCAGUACCUAAUUCAGAACUCAUCUCUAAACACCCUUUAGGCCAUGGCCCCUGCACCCAGGGAGGGAAGACGAGGAAUUGCCUGGCCCAGCGAGAACAGAAGGCACCCAGCAACCUGCUGGGGCUGGGGGCAGUGGCAGUGGUGUUGGGAACUCUGUUUAAGACUCCUGUGCAUCCUUCCAAGUUGAUGGUUACUGGGGUGGAUUUCUUGGCUCCUUGGCCAGGGGUGAGGGCUGGUGGGUCACCAUCCCUUCAGGAGGAUGGGUUUCCUCUGUCACCGAGCUCCAGUGCUCGGGAACAUCUAGGUCCUUGACACUAUUCAGGACAAGAGGACAAACCCGGGUGCGAGUGCAGCAGCGAUGUCAGGUGUCACUCCAGGAAAGGUGUCACCAAGCAGGGUGCGGGUGGGUGGGGCCUGCCAGCCUUCAGUGGCGCCUCCCCCGUCUGCCUCUCAAUUAGGGAAUUUUUCCAUCCCAAGUCACUCUGCCAGGCUCACGGUAAGACUGGUUUGUGUGUAUGUUUCUUCUUUCCAUGUGGAAAAACUCAGCUAUUCCAGGCAGAUUUGUCAGCACUUUCCCCCUCAGCCAGCGGGAGGCUCCAAGCCACAGCGACUUACAUUCCAGCACUAAGCCCUCUCUGGGCCCAUCGCUGUGGCAGGAAGCCAGGGACUGGGGCUGGGACAGACCACAGGAGCACCGCGGCCUGGAUGGCCUUCCAGGCUAUCCCUGCUCUCACCCCAGCUGCCCCACGCGUGCAUGCACGUGCACACACACACACAUACACCCCUGUCUCUUCCGGA